GACGAACGCUGGCGGCGUGCUUAACACAUGCAAGUCGAACGGAAAGGCCCUGCUUUUGUGGGGUGCUCGAGUGGCGAACGGGUGAGUAACACGUGAGUAAACUGCCCUUGACUUGGGGAUAACUGCAGGAAACUGGGGCUAAUACCGGAUAGGAGCUCCGGCUGCAUGGUGGGGGUUGGAAAGUUUCGGCGGUUGGGGAUGGACUCGCGGCUUAUCAGCUUGGGGGUGGGGGAGUGGCUUACAAAGGCUUUGACGGGUAGCCGGCCUGAGAGGGUGACCGGCCACAUUGGUACUGAGAUACGGCCCAGACUCCUACGGUAGGCAGUAGUGGGGAAUAUUGCACAAUGGUCGGAAGUCUGAUGCAGCAACGCCGCGUUCGGGAUGACGGCCUUCGCGUUGUAAACCGCUUUCGCCUGUGACGAAGCGUGAAUGACGGUAAUGGGUAAAGAAGCACCGGCUAACUACGUG
rnacentral:rRNA from 1 species